AAAUGAUUAGCUAAAUCACCCUUAUGGUGGCCGGCCUUGUGUGAGUUUUGAGAGAGAGAGAUGGUUUCUUCUUUUUGUGAAAAACAACACACAAAACCCUAAUGAACUUUUUCACUAUAAAGUUCCUUUUAUAACACAAAGAAACCUAGCCAACAACUUGACUUCCUAUCUCUCCUUUUCACUCUAUAUGGCCGGCCCCCUUAGUGUUGUUUGGGCUUUUAUUUAUUUCAAGUCAUCCAAUGCUUGAAUAAAAGCCCAAUGGGUUUAGGUCCAAUGGGCCCAAUUAAACCCGAACGUUUCUUUAAGCCCAAAACGAUCUUACAUCGCUUUUAUGAUUUCUUUAGACUUUCUAAUUAAUCACAACACUUAAU
rnacentral:lncRNA from 1 species